rnacentral:SRP_RNA from 1 species
AAGUCCCUCCCGAGGGGGUGGCUUCGAGGUAGGGCUAACGCACGCGAGUGUUGACGGCCAGGUCCCGCGCACCGAGACCCUGCGAACCGCGUCAGGUCCGGGAGGAAGCAGCGCUAAGCGGAGCGUCUCGGGGGCCGCGGAGAAGCCUGACCCGAGCAAGCGGCGGAGGCACCGCCUCGAAAGCGUCCUCGACGGCGGGUGUGCGG